rnacentral:misc_RNA from 1 species
UCCGAGUUGACCCCGGCAGUCUCCUAUGAGUCCCCACCAUUACGUGCUGGCAACAUAGAACGAGGGUUGCGCUCGUUGCGGGACUUAACCCAACAUCUCACGACACGAGCUGACGACAGCCAUGCACCACCUGUGCACUGGCCCCGAAGGGCUGCCGUAUUUCUACGACAUUCCAGUGCAUGUCAAGCCUUGGUAAGGUUCUUCGCGUUGCGUCGAAUUAAACCACAUGCUCCGCUGCUUGUGCGGGUCCCCGUCAAUUCCUUUGAGUUUUAGCCUUGCGGCCGUACUCCCCAGGCGGGGCGCUUAAUGCGUUAGCUGCGGCACGGAGACCUUGGAAGGUCCCCACACCUAGCGCCCAACGUUUACGGCAUGGACUAC